rnacentral:rRNA from 1 species
GUGCUUAACACAUGCAAGUCGAACGGAAAGGCCCUGCUUUUGUGGGGUGCUCGAGUGGCGAACGGGUGAGUAACACGUGAGUAACCUGCCCUUGACUUUGGGAUAACUUCAGGAAACUGGGGCUAAUACCGGAUAGGAGCUCCUGCUGCAUGGUGGGGGUUGGAAAGUUUCGGCGGUUGGGGAUGGACUCGCGGCUUAUCAGCUUGUUGGUGGGGUAGUGGCUUACCAAGGCUUUGACGGGUAGCCGGCCUGAGAGGGCGACCGGCCACAUUGGGACUGAGAUACGGCCCAGACUCCUACGGGAGGCAGCAGUGGGGAAUAUUGCACAAUGGGCGGAAGCCUGAUGCAGCAACGCCGCGUGCGGGAUGACGGCCUUCGGGUUGUAAACCGCUUUCGCCUGUGACGAAGCGUGAGUGACGGUAAUGGGUAAAGAAGCACCGGCUAACUACGUGCCAGCAGCCGCGGUGAUACGUAGGGUGCGAGCGUUGUCCGGAUUUAUUGGGCGUAAAGGGCUCGUAGGUGGUUGAUCGCGUCGGAAGUGUAAUCUUGGGGCUUAACCCUGAGCGUGCUUUCGAUACGGGUUGACUUGAGGAAGGUAGGGGAGAAUGGAAUUCCUGGUGGAGCGGUGGAAUGCGCAGAUAUCAGGAGGAACACCAGUGGCGAAGGCGGUUCUCUGGGCCUUUCCUGACGCUGAGGAGCGAAAGCGUGGGGAGCGAACAGGCUUAGAUACCCUGGUAGUCCACGCUGUAAACGGUGGGUACUAGGUGUGGGGUCCAUUCCACGGGUUCCGUGCCGUAGCUAACGCUUUAAGUACCCCGCCUGGGGAGUACGGCCGCAAGGCUAAAACUCAAAGGAAUUGACGGGGCCCCGCACAAGCGGUGGAGCAUGCGGAUUAAUUCGAUGCAACGCGUAGAACCUUACCUGGGUUUGACAUGGAUCGGGAGUGCUCAGAGAUGGGUGUGCCUCUUUUGGGGUCGGUUCACAGGUGGUGCAUGGCUGUCGUCAGCUCGUGUCGUGAGAUGUUGGGUUAAGUCCCGCAACGAGCGCAACCCUUGUUCACUGUUGCCAGCACGUUAUGGUGGGGACUCAGUGGAGACCGCCGGGGUCAACUCGGAGGAAGGUGGGGAUGACGUCAAGUCAUCAUGCCCCUUAUGUCCAGGGCUUCACGCAUGCUACAAUGGCUGGUACAGAGAGUGGCGAGCCUGUGAGGGUGAGCGAAUCUCGGAAAGCCGGUCUCAGUUCGGAUUGGGGUCUGCAACUCGACCUCAUGAAGUCGGAGUCGCUAGUAAUCGCAGAUCAGCAACGCUGCGGUGAAUACGUUCCCGGGGCUUGUACACACCGCCCGUCAAGUCAUGAAAGUUGGUAACACCCGAAGCCGGUGGCCUAACCGUUGUGGGGGAGCCGUCGAAGGUGGGACUGGUGAUUAGGACUAAAUC